rnacentral:rRNA from 1 species
UACAGAGGUCUCAAGCGUUUGUUCGGAUUCAUUGGGCGUAAAGGGCGCGUAGGCUGCGGGGCAAGUCGGGUGUGAAAUCUCAGAGCUCAACUCUGAAACUGCACUCGAUACUGCUUUGCUCGAGGACUGGAGAGGAGAUUGGAAUUCACGGUGUAGCAGUGAAAUGCGUAGAUAUCGUGAGGAAGACCAGUGGCGAAGGCGGUGCUCUGGGCCGGGAACUGACGCUGAGGAGCGAAAGUGUGGGGAGCAAACAGG